AUGUAUCAAGACAUCAAAACAGAGGUCUGGACAGCAUGUACAUCACACAAAGAAUUACGCAAAAUGUCGGUCCAGAACCAACACAACUUGAUACACAUGUCUCAUAAUGAAAAAAAAAAUGCAAUGAAGCAUAAACCAACAAUUAAAACCAAUUUCAGAUGCAAUUUACAAAACGGGACAACACUAUACUUAUUUAAAGAAUUAACCCGAAAAAUAUAUCGGAAUCAAGCAAACGCAAUCACAAAGAUUCACGAAUGA